CUCCCCGAAAAAUACAUUGUUUUCGAUGUUCCAAUUUGGUGAAUGUGCGCGAAGUCGACCAAAAUUCAGUUUCCCGUGCGCAUCCGAUGACAGUGAAUACGUUUGCUGAUUGGUCGUGACCGCCGCCAUCUGAUUUUCAUGAAUUUUGUGAGGUUGUGUUUGGGAAUUGUUGUUUUGGUUAAUUUACUAAUUUAUUUUCAUAUUAAUAAUCGGUAGUUAUGUAUAUUAUUAUGUGCUAUGAAUGUGAUAUUAUUUUCUUAAAUCAGUAAAAUGGAAAUAAAGCAAGCAGAAAACUAUUUUUACAAAGAAGAAUGUAAAAUUAAAAUCCAAAAUACUAACAACCCCUGUGAUGCUGUAAUCAUGUUCCUAUUCUGUUAAAACCGUGAUAAAGAGUCUUUAAGACUGAUAAAAAUAGUUAUUUCUAUGAUGGAAAUUCUUUGGACCAAAUAAAUAGAGAAGUUAUUAUUGAAGACAUCAAAAUAAAAGAAGUAAUGCAUGUGGAAAAUGAUUUUCUUCAUAUUAAUAAAAGAAGAACUGAAGUUAUUAUGAAACCAGUGUCCGGACGGUGUAUUUUACCGACUUAAAGCAAGAGUACCUUUUAAUACUCGAAUUUGUCACAUUUUUUAAUUUCAUAAUUUUAUUUAUGUAAGUUGUGAUUGUGAAAAUAUUGUUAAGUUGUAUUCAUAGUUCACUACUUGUUCUUUUGAAAUACUAUUUUUAUUAUAAUUGGUAUUGUAAAGUUGAAAUCCUCAAAUCAAAAUAUAAUUUAUAAUUCGAAUGUA
rnacentral:lncRNA from 1 species